rnacentral:misc_RNA from 1 species
AUACCCCCUUUGCAGGUUAUUAAAAACCUUUGUUUUGUGAUAUUCCACAUUGCAGUUGUUGAAUUUGUGCUCUUGUUAAUUCGGUCCAUUUAUUGCUGGAUUUGUAAUUAAAAAGCAUAUUAUUUGGUGUCUGAUGAUUCAUAUUCUAUCAUUGUUUGGUAAUUAACAUUCUUGUGCUUGGGAUAAUUCCAUGUGAUGAAAAUUAUUCUGUAUUUUGCUUUGCAAUAUAAUUCAAGUUUGAAAAGGCAUCUUUGAGUAAGCUUCUCUCUGGAUGUUAUAAGGGAAUUCUAUCAUUGGCUAAUGAUGAUUUUCCUGUGAGUAUUAUGUUUCUGCAGAGGUGUUUAGAUUGGCUGUUACAGCUAGGUUUUAUGGUUACAGUCAGCUGUUGGCUAUUGUCACUGACUUUGCUGUUGUGAUUUCCAGUUGCUAUUGGGUUAGA